rnacentral:rRNA from 1 species
CAGUCGCCGCGGUAAUACAGAGGGUGCAAGCGUUAAUCGGAAUUACUGGGCGUAAAGCGCGCGUAGGUGGCUUGUUAAGUUGGAUGUGAAAUCCCCGGGCUCAACCUGGGAACUGCAUCCAAAACUGGCAAGCUAGAGUAUGGUAGAGGGUGGUGGAAUUUCCUGUGUAGCGGUGAAAUGCGUAGAUAUAGGAAGGAACACCAGUGGCGAAGGCGACCACCUGGACUGAUACUGACACUGAGGUGCGAAAGCGAGGGGAGCAAACAGGAUUAGAUACCCCAGUAGUCCCUGUCUCUUAUAC